UGCGCAGCAGUCGGGGAAUAUUGGACAAUGGGCGAAAGCCUGAUCCAGCCAUGCCGCGUGUGUGAAGAAGGCCUUUUGGUUGUAAAGCACUUUAAGCGGGGAGGAGGGCUCUGUGGUUAAUACCCAUAGAAGUCGGACGUUACCCGCAGAAUAAGCACCGGCUAACUCUGUGCCAGCAGCCGCGGUAAUACAGAGGGUGCGAGCGUUAAUCGGAAUUACUGGGCGUAAAGCGCGCGUAGGCGGCUUGUUAAGUCAAAUGUGAAAUCCCCGAGCUUAACUUGGGCAUUGCAUUCGAUACUGGCAAGCUAGAGUAUGGGAGAGGAAGGUAGAAUUCCAGGUGUAGCGGUGAAAUGCGUAGAGAUCUGGAGGAAUACCGAUGGCGAAGGCAGCCUUCUGGCCUAAUACUGACGCUGAGGUGCGAAAGCAUGGGGAGCAAACAGGAUUAGAUACCCCAGUAGUCAU
rnacentral:rRNA from 1 species